UACGUAGGUGGCAAGCGUUGUCCGGAUUUACUGGGCGUAAAGAGCACGCAGGCGGUCGGCCAAGUCGAGUGUGAAAGCCCCCGGCUCAACUGGGGAGGGUCACUCGAUACUGGUCGACUUGAAGGCGGGAGAGGGAAGCGGAAUUCCCGGUGUAGUGGUGAAAUGCGUAGAUAUCGGGAGGAACACCAGUGGCGAAGGCGGCUUCCUGGCCCGUUCUUGACGCUCAUGUGCGAAAGCUAGGGGAGCAAACGGG
rnacentral:rRNA from 1 species